rnacentral:rRNA from 1 species
GGAAGUAAAAGUCGUAACAAGGUCUCCGUAGGUGAACCUGCGGAGGGAUCAUUACUGAGUGAGGGCCUUCGGGCUCGACCUCCAACCCUUUGUGAACACAACUUGUUGCUUCGGGGGCGACCCUGCCGUUUCGACGGCGAGCGCCCCCGGAGGCCUUCAAACACUGCAUCUUUGCGUCGGAGUUUAAGUAAAUUAAACAAAACUUUCAACAACGGAUCUCUUGGUUCUGGCAUCGAUGAAGAACGCAGCGAAAUGCGAUAAGUAAUGUGAAUUGCAGAAUUCAGUGAAUCAUCGAAUCUUUGAACGCACAUUGCGCCCCUUGGUAUUCCGAGGGGCAUGCCUGUUCGAGCGUCAUUUCACCACUCAAGCCUCGCUUGGUAUUGGGCGCCGCGGUGUUCCGCGCGCCUCAAAGUCUCCGGCUGAGCUGUCCGUCUCUAAGCGUUGUGAUUUCAUUAAUCGCUUCGGAGCGCGGGCGGUCGCGGCCGUUAAAUCUUUUACAAGGUUGACCUCGGAUCAGGUAGGGAUACCCGCUGAACUUAAGCAUAUCA